CGCGUAGGCGGCGUGUUAAGUCGGAUGUGAAAGCCCCGGGCUCAACCUGGGAACUGCACCCGAUACUGGCAGGCUAGAGUACGAGAGAGGGAGGUAGAAUUCCACGUGUAGCGGUGAAAUGCGUAGAUAUGUGGAGGAAUACCGGUGGCGAAGGCGGCCUCCUGGCUCGAUACUGACGCUGAGGUGCGAAAGCGUGGGGAGCAAAACA
rnacentral:rRNA from 1 species